rnacentral:rRNA from 1 species
UGCCUUCAGGAUGGGGACGAACAGACGGAAACGACUGCUAAUACCGAAUAAGUUCCAAGAGCCGCAUGGCCCAUGGAAGAAAAGGUGGCCUCUACCUGUAAGCUAUCGCCUGAAGAGGGGUUUGCGUCUGAUUAGCUGGUUGGAGGGGGUAACGGGCCCACCAAGGCGACGAUCAGUAGCCGGUCUGAGAGGAUGAACGGCCACACUGGAACUGAGACACGGUCCAGACUCCUACGGAGGCAGCAUG